AUGCCCAUUCCGCACGAGGCCGCUGGUGGGCCGACCCACCCGCUAGCCCACUCGAUCUGGCCCCCGGCUGGCUUCCCUCGGUCGCCUCCACCGAAUCGGGCACACGAGACCGUGACCGAGACCCUAGUCCUCGCUCCAUCCUCCCUCCCCGCCGCCACCUCGCCCCGUUCCCUCCCUACGCCACCUCCCCUUGCGACCAUGCUGUGCGAAUGGGACGACGACUGGACCCGCCCCAAGUGUCGCGCCGACAACCGCUGGGACGCCACCCCCCCGACACGAUGCGCCGCGAGGACGAUCUCCGCCUGCUACUGUCGGCGCGGGAUGGACGCCGGUCCCCGCCGCGCUCCGACCGCCGCUCCCCGUCGCGUCGCUCUCCGGGCCGGGCUGACCGCCGGGAACGCUCCCGGUCCCGCUCUCCAGUCCCUACCGCGGACUGGCGGAGCGAACGCCGCCGCUCCCCCUCUCCGAUGCGUCACCGUGACAGCAGCCGCUCCCCGGCCCGCGGGGGCCGCUCCCGACCCCUCUGCGGCUUCAACAGCAAUAGCAGCCUGUGCGUACUGCCCCCACCCACCGGUACCUAACUUCCCUCCCAACGUCAAUGGGGCUAGCCGGGGCCGCCAGGGGGCAAAGAAGAAGAAGAAGCGGGGCCUUGGCCGCGGUAAUGGUGCGGCGUCGGCCUCGGGUCUGGCUUGCGACCCGCCAGCCUUCGCCCCCGGUUCGGUGCGUCCCGAGGACCAGACAAAUGACCUCCUGAGGUGUUUCAACUGUGGCCUCGCCGGCCAUUCUCAGGUCACAUGUACUCGCCCACAGUGCUGCUACCUAUGCUCGGAUCCGGGGCAUCCUGCAUUCCUGUGCCCAGAUCGCUCGGUGUCGAAGGAGUUGAUGAUGUACGAACAUGGGAUCGAGGGCCUGAGCUACUUCCACAUCGAGGUGCCUGACAUACCUCCCCUCUCGCUCCUGGCGAUUGUCACCGUGCUGGGUGAGCGGGUGGCUUCACCAGAGAUGAUCGAGGCAGAGCCUAACCACCUCUACCACUGCAGCUGGGAUUGGCAGGUCACCAUGUUGGCAGGCAACUAG
rnacentral:rRNA from 1 species